rnacentral:rRNA from 1 species
UACGGAAGGCAGCAGGGGGAAUAUUGCACAAUGGGCGCAAGCCUGAUGCAGCCAUGCCGCGUGUAUGAAGAAGGCCUUCGGGUUGUAAAGUACUUUCAGUCGUGAGGAAGGUGUUAAGGUUAAUAACCUUAGCAAUUGACGUUAGCGACAGAAGAAGCACCGGCUAACUCCGUGCCAGCAGCCGCGGUAAUACGGGGGUGCGAGCGUUAAUCGGAAUUACUGGGCGUAAAGGGCACGCAGGCGGUUAAUUAAGUUGGAUGUGAAAUCCCCGGGCUAACCUGGGAAUGGCAUUCAAGACUGGUUAGCUAGAGUCUUGUAGAGGGGGGUAGAAUUCCAUGUGUAGCGGUGAAAUGCGUAGAGAUGUGGAGGAAUACCGGUGGCGAAGGCGGCCCCUGGACAAAGACUGACGCUCAUGUGCGAAAGCGUGGGGAGCAAACAGGGAUUAGAUACC